rnacentral:rRNA from 1 species
UACCAGACUCCUACGGGAGGCAGCAGUGAGGAAUAUUGGGCAAUGGACGCAAGUCUGAACCAGCCAUGCCGCGUGCAGGAUGACGGCUCUAUGAGUUGUAAACUGCUUUUGUACGAGGGUAAACCCCGAUACGUGUAUCGGGUUGAAAGUAUCGUACGAAUAAGGAUCGGCUAACUCCGUGCCAGCAGCCGCGGUAAUACGGAGGAUGCGAGCGUUAUCCGGAUUUAUUGGGUUUAAAGGGUGCGCAGCCGGCGGCACAAGUCAGCGUAAAAUUCGCGGGGCUCACCCCCGCUCCGCCGUUGAAACUGUGUCCCUUGAGUGCGCGAAGGGUAGGCGGAAUGCGUGGUGUAGCGGUGAAAUGCAUAGAUAUCACGCAGAACUCCGAUCGCGAAGGCAGCCUACCGGCGCGCAACUGACGCUCAUGCACGAAAGCGUGGGUAUCGAACAGGAUUAGAUACCCUUGUAC